ACAAACUUGGUCAUUUAGAGGAAGUAAAAGUCGUAACAAGGUUUCCGUAGGUGAACCUGCGGAAGGAUCAUUACAGAGUUCAUGAGUAGUUUGAGGAAACUCGGCUGCUUAUACACUCCCACCCUUUGUUUACAUUACCUUUGUUGCUUUGGCAGGCCCGUCUUAGGACCGCUGGCUUCGGCUGGCCAGUGCCUGCCAAAGAAUCCAAAACUCUUUUUAAUAAUAUUGUCUGAGUACUAUAUAAUAGUUAAAACUUUCAACAACGGAUCUCUUGGUUCUGGCAUCGAUGAAGAACGCAGC
rnacentral:misc_RNA from 1 species